rnacentral:rRNA from 1 species
UACGUAGGGGGCAAGCGUUGUCCGGAUUUAUUGGGCGUAAAGAGCGUGUAGGCGGCCAGACAAGUCUGCUGUGAAAACUCGAGGCUCAACCUCGAGCUGUCGGUGGAAACUGUCUGGCUAGAGUCCGGAAGAGGAGAGUGGAAUUCCUGGUGUAGCGGUGAAAUGCGCAGAUAUCAGGAAGAACACCUAUGGCGAAGGCAGCUCUCUGGGACGUUACUGACGCUGAGACGCGAAAGCGUGGGGAGCGAACAGG